GAUGAACGCUGGCGGCGUGCUUAACACAUGCAAGUCGAACGGAAAGGCUCCUGCUUGCAGGGGUACUCGAGUGGCGAACGGGUGAGUAACACGUGGGUGAUCUGCCCUGCACUUCGGGAUAAGCCUGGGAAACUGGGUCUAAUACCGGAUAGGACGAUGGUUUGGAUGCCAUUGUGGAAAGUUUUUCGGUGUGGGAUGAGCUCGCGGCCUAUCAGCUUGUUGGUGGGGUAAUGGCCUACCAAGGCGUCGACGGGUAGCCGGCCUGAGAGGGUGUACGGCCACAUUGGGACUGAGAUACGGCCCAGACUCCUACGGGAGGCAGCAGUGGGGAAUAUUGCACAAUGGGCGCAAGCCUGAUGCAGCGAUGCCGCGUGGGGGAUGACGGCCUUCGGGUUGUAAACUCCUUUCGCUAGGGACGAAGCGCAAGUGACGGUACCUGGAGAAGAAGCACCGGCUAACUACGUG
rnacentral:rRNA from 1 species